rnacentral:rRNA from 1 species
GACGAACGCUGGCGGCGUGCCUAAUACAUGCAAGUAGAACGCUGAAGGAGGAGCUUGCUCUUCUGGAUGAGUUGCGAACGGGUGAGUAACGCGUAGGUAACCUGCCUGGUAGCGGGGGAUAACUAUUGGAAACGAUAGCUAAUACCGCAUAAAAUUGAUUAUUGCAUGAUAGUCAAUUAAAAGGUGCAAUUGCAUCACUACCAGAUGGACCUGCGUUGUAUUAGCUAGUUGGUGAGGUAACGGCUCACCAAGGCAACGAUACAUAGCCGACCUGAGAGGGUAAUCGGCCACACUGGGACUGAGACACGGCCCAGACUCCUACGGGAGGCAGCAGUAGGGAAUCUUCGGCAAUGGACGGAAGUCUGACCGAGCAACGCCGCGUGAGUGAAGAAGGUUUUCGGAUCGUAAAGCUCUGUUGUAAGAGAAGAACGAGUGUGAGAGUGGAAAGUUCACACUGUGACGGUAUCUUACCAGAAAGGGACGGCUAACUACGUG